GAUUAACGCUAGCGGCAGGCAUAAUACAUGCAAGUCGAACGGAAAGACAGGUAGCUUUACUGGGUGGCGAUUGGCGCACGGGUGCGUAACACGUAUGCAACCUACCCUAUACAGGCGAAUAACCUUUAGAAAUGACGGCUAAUACGCCGUAGUAUUUCAUGUGGCCAUUUGUUUGUUAGUAAAGGUCUGUUGUUAUAUGAUGGGUAUGCGUCUCAGUGGUUAGUUGGUAAGGUAACGGCUUACCAAGGCGAUGAUGGGUAGGGGAGCGGAGGGGACGUACCCCCACACUGGUACUGAGACACGGACCACUCUGCUACGGGAGGCAGCAGUAAGGAAUAUAGGGCGAUGGACGCGAGGCUGACCCAGCCAUGCCGGGUGCAGGAAGACGGCGUUAGGGAUUGUAAACUGCUUGUAUACAACAAUAAUAGAGUGUACGCGUACAUUUAUGAAGGUAUCGUAUGAAUAAGCAUCGGCUAACUACGUG
rnacentral:rRNA from 1 species